GGAGUUUAUUAGGAGACUUGACUCACACGAUUACAAGGUGAAUUCCCACAAUAGGCCAUCUACAAGCUGAGGAGCAAGGAAGCCAGCCCGAAUUCCAAAACCUCAAAAAGUAGGGAAGCUGACGGUGCAGCCUUCAGUCUGUGGCCAAAGGCCCGAGAGCCCCUGAUAAAUCACUGGUUUAAGUACAAGUAUCUAAAAGCUGAAGAACUUGGAGUCUUUUGUUGGAGAGCAGGAAGCAUCCAGCACGGGAAAAAGAUAAAGGCCAGAAGACUCAGCAAGUCUCGUCAUUCCACUUUCUUCCGCCUGUUUAUUCUAGCCACACUGGCAGCUGAUUAGAUGGCGCCCACCCAGAUUGAGGGUAGGUCAGCCUCUCCCAGUUCACCGACUCAAAUAUGUUAAUUUCCUUUGGCAGCGCCCUCACAGAACACCCAGGGACACUACUUUGCAUCCUUCAAUCCAAUCAAGUUGACAUUCAAUAUUAACCAUCACAAAGACUAAGAAAAAACCUUGGAGUGACAGUGCAAUGAUCUAGAAGGCACCUGCUACCUUGAUGACUUUGUGGAGUCAUUAUUCCAGACUGAGUAAAUCUAUAUAAAAACGAAGAGAAAUCCACAGACCUUUUGAAGGAACUGGAUCACCACUGCAGGCUCCUCAAGACACCAAAAAACUGGAAGCAUGAUCGUGAUGGUGGAUCAUGGCAUUCCUCCAUAUAGAAAAGCUUGGAUAUUCCCAUUUCUUCAGAAUGAAUUUCCCGUAAGAAGUGUUUUUAUCUGUAUCAAGCCAGUUGAGGGUCUUCAAACUAAACACUGAAAGAGUUUGCUGUAAAGUCAUGGAACCAGGGUAUACUGACUCCAUCUACACAAGUCAAAGGUUUGCCACUUCUAGGUAAUGGAAAACAUUGGAAGACCAGAGAAUUCUUAAAUAUGAGUCCAUGAGUCCACUUUCUUGAUCUUUUCUUGGUUGAGGACUAUGUUGCUGAGAUACCAAGGAGACUAGUAAAACAUUUCUACUAAAAGUGCAGCCUGCUCACAAGCACUGGUUGCUAAACAACUAAUUACCAGUCUAGAACUAGAGAAAGUCAAAAAUUGAUAGAAUAUUUUAGAAACUUUUGUGGAAUUUUGACAUGGCUACCAUAUUCAAGUACAUUUUCAAUGGGUCCAUUUGUGGCUGAAAAUAUUAAGCAAGGUGUGACCCUUCUUGGAAAUGCCAUCAUGUGUUUAUGCUGACACCAAAACAGGCUCAUUGAUUUUCCAGCUUUCUAAUUCAUGCAAUCUCAGAUUUGAAAGGACACAACAAAAAUUUAGCCAAGAGUAAAUCUAAUUCUAAUAAAAUAUGGUCCAAAGAUAUGUUCAGCUUAUGAUUAAAGUAAAAUUUUAUUGUGACUUUUUUUAAGAAUCCAAGUGUUCUCCUACUUACCAGAGAAUGAUGAUUAAUGGCAUAUGUGAAUAAAUAUACCUGUGAA
rnacentral:lncRNA from 1 species